UACUACCUUUCCCUCAUCAUUUCAACUUCCUACAACUCUUUCAUCACUCAAAUUUACCUUCUUUCCUACCAUGGAAGCUCUCUCAGUUGGUUAUUAUUAUUUGCACAUAAAAAAUGUACUAGGCCAUGAACUCAAAAACAGAUACAACCCCAUAUUUGUUACUCUACUAUCCUCUAAGGAUAGAGAGAAUAAAGACAAGGGAGGAAAGCUGAGAAUGUUGAAAAUGUUGAGUGGCUUUGAGAAGGUUGGGAAGAGACUGAAGCAGAAUUUGAGUCCACAGCAAAAGGGUGAUUGGAAAGACUUGUUCCUCAUGAGUUUAUCAUUUGCUGUUUAUGUCUACAUAUCUCAAAAGCUAGUCUCUGCUUAUUUUGCUUGGACUUCUAUGCCCAAGCAAAUUUGGUAGUUACUUGCUUUUUGCAUUUGUAUUUUAUUAUAACUUUUGGUCAUUUACUCUGUUGUGCAGCUUUAAUUCUGUAUGAAAGCACAAAAAUAAAGGAAAGAACCUCAUUAUCUAUAGUAACUUGGUCAUAAAGAGAUGUAAAUUGAGUUUAUUCUCACUCACAUUUAUUCUUAAUUAGCCAUCUUCAUUCAUUGUCUAUAAUAAUCCAUUAAGAGGGAAUUCAUUCUUAUAUAUUCAAGCUAUCUAAAAGAGCCUUUUUUCAUAUCAUAAAAGCUAUUAUGUGCUUAUUUUGCUUGGACUUCUGCUUCCAACCAACUUUAGUAGUUAUUUCCUAGUUCCUAUCUCUGUAGGCCCUAUAUUUGCAAAGAAGAGAUGAACACUCUAAUUCUUUUCUCUCUCUAUUUUUGGUAUUUUACUUUGUUGCAGUUUUAGCUGGGAAAGACUAUGUAUGAUGGAACACAAAUAAAUAGGAAGAUAGUCUUUACAAUUUUCAGCAAAUGACUCUAGUAGUUUUCUAUUUCCUUUCUACUAUUAGUGUCUAAUUCUACACUACCUAUCCAUUUUCAUUUUCUGGAUUAGUACACUACAUGAUUGAGAAGUCAUCAUCCAAUCCAUCAAGAUCUCCUUUAACUUUGUGUUGUUGGAUGAUCAACACGGAUACGGUCAUUGAGAAGUCUGGUCCUGAAAGAACAUCCCCUAUUGGUCCUAGUUCAGGGCAUUGUUGCCAAUCAUUCAUUCCCCUUGUCAAUAUAGAGUUCAUUCCACCUUCUCUUCCAACAAUGACCAAUGAGUAUUGUCCUUCAAAUGACCUUAGAGUAGAAAAUGUCUCAGCAGCAUUUGCUAGAUGCUUCUCUGUAUACGAAAUACGGCCUCCUACUACAUGCCUUUCGUAGAAAUGCGCAAAGUAUUCGUCAUCCAACUUCAUCUCAUUUUCUUGGUCUGCAAGGAUGACCCUAUACCUGACUAAUCUUGAGGACUCUGCAUUUGGAUCUACCAAGAAUCUUAUUAUUGUUACUUUUACUCCUGGAUGCCGUGCUACACGGCUAGCAUAGGCAAGUGCUUCCCUAUCAUCUUUCCCUCCGAUGAAUAUGACUGCCACAUUGAUUGUUACUUUAGAUGCUGAUAUAUGAUCAAUGGAUCCAAGGCCUCUGUCCACUAGAAUCCCAACGGAACAAGGGGCACUUCUCAGUACCUGUUCAACGAAACAUGUUAGAUAAAGUCUUCAAAAUAAGUUAUUUCUAUUAUAUCAUGAUAAGUUACUCCUUCAAGCUUCAAAAUGAGUGAAACAGUUACACUUUUCUAGAAGUUCAUUUAUAUUUCAAUAGCCAAAGAAGUUGGUAAUGAAAUUGAGAAUACGCUUUUGAAUUAGGGGUGAGAGCCUUCAUAAGCCCCCAUGUUGAUAAACAAGGAUGCAAACUGCAGGUUAUGAAGGAAAAGUAAAAAAUUUGUUGCUAAAAUUUAUUUUUCUCCCAAAGUAGGUUCUCCUAAUCUUGUUUAAUUUGAUGUCACAAUUUGAUACUGAGUAAGCUAGAAGCAAAAUAUAAGCAUCUUCUAUUUCCUUUUGUUCUUUUGGAAGGCUGCAAUUUCAUUUUGCUAAAAUACCAAAGAUGCAUUCAUACAUGCAAGAGAGCAUAAUUUUCACAUUACAUAAAAAUUUGUAGCUUUUAUCUCCUUUAGAUUAGCUUAUCAUAUAUUCAGGUAAAGUUGGUAUAUGUUUAGAUUAGCUUAUCUUUUAUUUGAAAGUAUUUCGAAACUAUCUAAGAGAGUUCUAAAAAACUAUCACUGAAUUUAAGCAUUACCAAAAAUGCAUUUAAGUUCGGUUAAGGGAACCAUUACCUUUCGGUUCACAUAUCUGAACCCUUGAUUACCACCAUCCAAGGUUCCUUCGGAGCGGUGGCUCCUAUGGAAUGGUAGUAUAAUGAGGGCAAUCAUCAAGUCCUCUGCUAAAACACAGAUAUCUUGAGGCAUGUUAUUGAUUGUUGAGAGUGCCAUUGUUCUUUUGAGAGUAAUACCAUCACUGUUUUCUUCCACAUAG
rnacentral:lncRNA from 1 species